AGUGAACGCUGGCGGUAGGCCUAACACAUGCAAGUCGAACGGCAGCACAGUAAGAGCUUGCUCUUACGGGUGGCGAGUGGCGGACGGGUGAGGAAUACAUCGGAAUCUACUUUUUCGUGGGGGAUAACGUAGGGAAACUUACGCUAAUACCGCAUACGACCUACGGGUGAAAGCAGGGGAUCUUCGGACCUUGCGCGAUUAAAUGAGCCGAUGUCGGAUUAGCUAGUUGGCGGGGUAAAGGCCCACCAAGGCGACGAUCCGUAGCUGGUCUGAGAGGAUGAUCAGCCACACUGGAACUGAGACACGGUCCAGACUCCUACGGGAGGCAGCAGUGGGGAAUAUUGGACAAUGGGCGCAAGCCUGAUCCAGCCAUACCGCGUGGGUGAAGAAGGCCUUCGGGUUGUAAAGCCCUUUUGUUGGGAAAGAAAAGCAGCAGGUUAAUACCCCGCUGUUCUGACGGUACCCAAAGAAUAAGCACCGGCUAACUUCGU
rnacentral:rRNA from 1 species